rnacentral:misc_RNA from 1 species
GAUGAAGAUCGUAGCGAAAUGCGAUAAGUAAUGUGAAUUGCAGAAUUCAGUGAAUCAUCGAAUCUUUGAACGCACAUUGCGCCCGCUAGUAUUCUGGCGGGCAUGCCUGUCCGAGCGUCAUUUCAACCCUCAAGCCCCCGGGCUUGGUGUUGGGGAUCGGCGAGCCUCCGCGCCCGCCGUCCCCUAAAUCUAGUGGCGGUCUCGCUGUAGCUUCCUCUGCGUAGUAGCACACCUCGCACUGGGAAACAGCGCGGCCACGCCGUUAAACCCCCAACUUCUGAACGUUUGACCUCGGAUCAGGUAGGAAUACCCGCUGAACUUAAGCAUAUCAAUAAGCGGAGGA